rnacentral:rRNA from 1 species
UACGUAGGGGGCAAGCGUUGUCCGGAUUUAUUGGGCGUAAAGAGCGUGUAGGCGGCCAUACAGGUCAGCUGUGAAAACUCGAGGCUCAACCUCGAGACGUCGGUUGAAACCGUAUGGCUAGAGUCCGGAAGAGGAGAGUGGAAUUCCGCGUGUAGCAGUGAAAUGCGUAGAGAUGCGGAGGAACACCGAUGGCGAAGGCAAUCCCCUGGGCCUGUACUGACGCUCAUGCACGAAAGCGUGGGGAGCAAACAGG